rnacentral:piRNA from 1 species
UGUCAGCGCCAUCUUGCAACAGCGAA